rnacentral:rRNA from 1 species
UUUGUUACUUCAAACCAAUCGGACUUCGGUCUGAACUCAUGUGAUACUGAGCAAUUUAGCUGAUCGCACGGUCCAAGCACCGGCGACAUAUCCUUCAAAUGUCUGCCUUAUCAACUUUCGAUGGUAGAUUAUGCGCCUACCAUGGUUGUAACGGGUAACGGAGAAUCAGGGUUUGAUUCCGGAGAGGGAGCCUGAGAAACGGCUACCACAUCCAAGGAAGGCAGCAGGCACGCAAAUUACCCACUCCCGGCACGGGGAGGUAGUGACGAAAAAUAACAAUACGGGCGUCUUUCGAGGCCCCGUAAUUGGAAUGAGUGCAAUCUAAAUCCUUCAACGAGGAUCUAUUGGAGGGCAAGUCUGGUGCCAGCAGCCGCGGUAAUUCCAGCUCCAAAAGCGUAUAUUAAAGCUGUUGCAGUUAAAAAGCUCGUAGUUGGAUCCUGGACAUUCUGGGCGGGCGGUCUGCCUCACCGGCGGACGUCGGCUACGCUCAGGUCUACGUUGCUGGGGAGGAUCGUGGUGCCCUUCGCCGGGUGCCGCGGUCUGCCCGCAAGUCUUACUUUGAAAAAAUCAAAGUGC